rnacentral:rRNA from 1 species
AACGAACGCUGGCGGCAGGCUUAACACAUGCAAGUCGAACGCCCCGCAAGGGGAGUGGCAGACGGGUGAGUAACGCGUGGGAAUCUACCCAUCCCUACGGAACAACUCCGGGAAACUGGAGCUAAUACCGUAUACGCCCUUAGGGGGAAAGAUUUAUCGGGGAUGGAUGAGCCCGCGUUGGAUUAGCUAGUUGGUGGGGUAAAGGCCUACCAAGGCGACGAUCCAUAGCUGGUCUGAGAGGAUGAUCAGCCACAUUGGGACUGAGACACGGCCCAAACUCCUACGGGAGGGAGCAAUGGCGAAUAUUGGACAAUGGGCGCAAGCCUGAUCCAGCCAUGCCGCGUGAGUGAUGAAGGCCUUAGGGUUGUAAAGCUCUUUCACCGAUGAAGAUAAUGACGGUAGUCGGAGAAGAAGCCCCGGCUAACUUCGUGUCAGCAGCCGCGGUAAAAC